rnacentral:rRNA from 1 species
UAGGGAAUCUUCGGCAAUGGAGGCAACCCUGACCGAGCAACGCCGCGUGAGUGAAGAAGGUUUUCGGAUCGUAAAGCUCUGUUGUAAGAGAAGAACGUGUGUGAGAGUGGAAAGUUCACACAGUGACGGUAACUUACCAGAAAGGGACGGCUAACUACGUGCCAGCAGCCGCGGUAAUACGUAGGUCCCGAGCGUUGUCCGGAUUUAUUGGGCGUAAAGCGAGCGCAGGCGGUUUAAUAAGUCUGAAGUUAAAGGCAGUGGCUUAACCAUUGUUCGCUUUGGAAACUGUUAGACUUGAGUGCAGAAGGGGAGAGUGGAAUUCCAUGUGUAGCGGUGAAAUGCGUAGAUAUAUGGAGGAACACCGGUGGCGAAAGCGGCUCUCUGGUCUGUAACUGACGCUGAGGCUCGAAAGCGUGGGGAGCAAACAG